rnacentral:rRNA from 1 species
AAUGAACGCUGGCGGCGCGCCUAAUACAUGCAAGUCGAGCGAGAAGACGUAGCAAUACGUUUGUAAAGCGGCGAACGGGUGAGGAAUACAUGGGUAACCUACCCUAGAGUGGGGAAUAACUAGCCGAAAGGUUAGCUAAUACCGCGUACGCUCCUUGGACUUCGGUUCAGGGAGGAAAGCGAUGCCGAGGGUAUCGCGCUCUUGGAUGGGCUCAUGUCCUAUCAGCUUGNGGUGAGGUAACGGCUCACCAAGGCUUCGACGGGUAGCUGGUCUGAGAGGACGAUCAGCCACACUGGCACUGCGACACGGGCCAGACUCCUACGGGAGGCAGCAGUAAGGAAUAUUGCGCAAUGGGCGAAAGCCUGACGCAGCGGCGCCGCGUGGGGGAUGAAGGUCUUCGGAUUGUAAACCCCUUU